UCAGUGAUCUUGUGCUUCUUUGCCUGUGGACCACGGAAUGUUACGUGAGCUCUCUCUUUUUGCUGGGGAUCCUGCCCCUGACAAAGACCUAGGCAGGUAAGUAGGAAAUAGUAUUAAGCGGCCCUCUGGAGAUUGGACAACACAGCAUCCAGGGGUAGACGUGUGGGUGGAAUGGGCUUUGGCUACAGAAAGCUCCUCCAACACCAGCCCAGGGUGAGUUUCCAGGGAACCAGCUCCUUAAUCUCAGGUGAAGUCAAGGUGGUGCUGAAAGGAAGAAGUCGUGAAUAUGCGUGUGUGUGUGUGUGUGUGUGUGUGACACGCGGGAACCGGUAGCCUGCCGUCCCUUAGCAGGGCUUUGGUUGGGGGUGGUGGGGAGAGUGUCUUGCUGUCUGCCCCUUAGUUUGGUUGACCAUGCGGUGCCGGGCCCAGGACUUCUACCCUGUGCACAUCUCCCUGACUUGGCAGAGAGAUGGGGAGGAACAGCUCCAGGACAUGGAAUUCACUGAGACCAGGCCUGCAGGCCACAGGACCUUCCAGAAGUGGGCAGGUGUGGGAGUGACCUUGGGCCACAAAGGGAAAUGUACCUGCUGAGUUCAGCACAAGGGACUGCCUGAGCCCCUCACCCUGAAGUGGGAGCUACAGUCCUCAUCCGCCUAGCUCAUUGUGGGGGGCAUUGGUGCUGUCCUCAUCCUCAUUUCAGUCAUUGCUGGAGUUGUGAUCUAGAGGAAGAAGGCUUCAGGUAGGCAGGACUGUGGGUUAGGGUCCUUAGGGCCCUGGACCCAUGGAGAUCCUGGCUUCCCCUGACCCUCAGCUUGUCUUUCUGUCCCCAAGUCUUCUCUUUCCCAUCUAAGGGACUCUCACAUGGGCCCUAAGACUCUAGAUGAACAAAAUCCUCAACUAGAAACGGUUUAUCUUGAGGAUGCCUGGUAGGGGUAUAACAGGCUGGCCUAGUGGGGAAUGUGCUUCAGACUCAGAUCAGAAAUGGAUGUGGGGAUCUCUGCCAGAGGGUCUGGGUGUCUCCCAGCUGGGGGCUGCAGACCAGCCUUGGGAACCCCUGGAGGCUGGCCUGGAGGUGGGGAAGUGGCCUAUUUGGGGGGUCCCUUUUCUCUCUUCCUCUUGGAUCCAGGGGCUGGACUGGAGUGGGAGAUGGGGGUGCAGUCCCAGUUGUAAUUUGUUGUGUCUCCAAGGCAAACCAGUGAACUUCUGAGACCUUGGUGUGGUCUCCUCUCAUGGAUUCCUCACUGGAAAUUUUUUUGUUUUCCAAGUGGAAAAGGAGGGGUCUCUGUUCCAGCUGCAGACAAUGACAGUGCACAGGGGUCAGAUGUCUCUCUCCCAGCCAAAGCUUGAGAGAAUUGCCUGGUAUGGGCCUGAGGAAGAAAACAAGCCUCCAGUCCCUGUGUCGUUCCUGUGGACCUCUGGCUUCUUUCCCCGGCACUGGCCCCUGGGAUCCUCCCUGGACUCUACUGGCCCAAGCCCAGGGAAGCAUCAUUAGGCCCUCACCCUGCUCUCUAAGGCCCCCCAUCCCCACCUUCUUUCUUUCUGCCUAUCUCACUCUGAAGGGAAACAACCAACAGUGAGGGCCAGAGGGCUUUGGGAGUGAGCCCUCCUUCACAUUUGACAUUGCACUGACCUCUGGGAUUAUUUUCUGACUGCACAAACAGCCUAAUGAAUCAUUGUUCUUGAAACUUCAGCUUUUCUCCACAAUCUCAACUGAGCUGCACAUUUGGGUCAUGGGAUUUGGGGGACAGGCUGACAGCGUGGAGAUGUUCUGGCCAUAUGAAGGGAAAAUAAGUGAAAGUUUGGAGA